rfam:Beta vulgaris subsp. vulgaris chromosome 8, whole genome shotgun sequence.
CCGACCUUAGCUCAGUUGGUAGAGCGGAGGACUGUAGUUGCUUAAACAGAUAAUCCUUAGGUCGCUGGUUCGAAUCCGGCAGGUCGGA